rnacentral:tRNA from 1 species
GCACUCGUCGUUCAAUGGAUAGGACAUCAGCUUGCGGAGCUGAUAAUGCAAGUUCGAUUCUUGCCGAGUGCACAA